ensembl:lncRNA
CACGCUUGUACCUGCCACUAAACACUAAUGAAGAAAAAAGAAGAAAAAUACAAACAUGCAGCCGAAUUUGUCUGGUGCUUCUCCUUUGUCGCGCUCUAAAGGAAUCAGUUUGUUUCCUCAUACUAAAAGAUGACUACAUCUAGCUUUGGUACUUACCUCCCAGAGAUCUGCUGUCCUGCUGGUCUCAUCUUCGCUGAGGACCACUUUGAGGUGCUCCUACCAGGGCCAGGUGGAUGUUUGUGUGGUGGACUCUCCUCAUACUCAGAAAUGGGUGUGGGACUUUGCCUGCAGCUGUUAGGUCUGAAAGGUCCCUUCCCCCGUGAAAUUAUCUGCUUAGAAAAGCAUUGGACAAGAGGAAAGGACAGGAGAGGAAUCUCCUGAUGUUGUUAGAUUUGCGGACCAUCUUCAGUUGUCACAGAAAGUACUUGAAUGGUCGAGCAUGAGGUGUUAUCCAGAACACCAUAUGUUCAAGGAUCAUCACAGAGGUGGAGUAGGCCAUGUUAUAUGUAAUGUACUCUGCCGUACAGUUUCCUAAAGUUGUGUAAUACAAAUAACCCUAGCAGGCUGUCAGGAUAGUGGAUGUUCAGAGAGAAACUCUCCAGAAGAUGGUCAUGGCUGCACAUAGGAGCAUGACGUUUUGAUAUCUUCACAGCAACCUGAACGUCGUCUUGAUGACCACAUCUUGGUCAUAUCUCGGAGCUGCUGUACCUUAAAGGAACGUUAUCCACACCAAAUAAUGCACCUCGCUCGAUGAAACAUGCUGGAAGCCACUGUGACCUUUUGUUUUUCUUAUAAAUGCAUGGACUGGGUCCUCACACACAAUAGCAGAAAGGUGUGUGUCACAUUACUGAAUGUGAAAGCAUUCAGUAAUAAUGAAUUCUUUCUGUUUCCAGCUGAAGAUCUUAAUGAAAUAAUAUUGAAAAUGAAAAUAAUAACCCCAAUAUUAAAAAGUUAACAAAGAUUCUGCACCUUUCAAAUAGGUACCUCCAUUACCCCCUUGGGAAGGAUUGUAAUUGGUUGCAUGUGUGUAUAUACAUUUCUGCAUAUUGAACUUCAUACUCAAUGUGUCAGCCCGGC